ensembl:antisense Gm29508 predicted gene 29508
UCAUUUCCCGGUAAAUUUCUACCCUUCAGCCCCACUUUUCUCCAGUCUCCAUACCCACUCCUCCCCUUGACCUCAGUAACCUGGUUUCUUGAGGUGUGUGUGUGUGUGUGUGUGUGUGUGUGUGUGUGUGUGUGUGCGCGCAAAAAGUAUUCAGGAUCAAGGAGGGCUGGGCACAGUGAGACAGGCACCCAACCUUCCCCAGAUACUUCAGGUCUCCAGCUGCCAUGCUCCAGUGCAGACAGACAAUCGGAUGGGGCUUGAGGUAGAAAGGAAUAGGACAGUUCAGUGACGAAGCCCCAGCUCAGCUCACAUUAGACUCUCCAGAGCCCUUCGUGUGCUCUGUCCUACGUCGGCUUGGCACGGGGAAGGCCUCUUGUCUCUGAAAGUAACUGCUUUGUCCAUUCCAACGAAGACCUGCAUCUUGGUGACGGGAAAUGACUGGUUCUGUUUUCUUGCAGUCCAACUUUAGCAAGGAAGAUGGCGCUUAAAGCAGGGGGCGGAUUCCAGGCUGCACCCCGGUAGGAGUCUCUGCCGAGCUCUGCCAAAGGCAAGUGAGCUGAGCAGAGUGACUAAGUCAACCGGAGAGCAGGGCACCAGCCAACCUUCCCCUCCUCGGAGCCCCCACUGCCAGUCCCGAGACCUGUACCUCGGAUCUCAGCAAUGAAAAAUCCUACUUGACUUAAAAGUAUAAAUAAAUGUAUGCUAAACGU